GUCAUAAUAUAAAAUUUUUAUAUUAUGUUGACGCAAUUAGAAAAGAAAAUGGUAAAUAUAAUUUUACCAUAUGAAAGUAAAUAAGAUACUAGUAAGUAUAUGUGGGUAAGUAAGAUAUUGUAAAUAACCAAGUUAACUAAGUUAGAGGAUGGAUGAAAAUAGUCAUGUUAUGAGAAAUAAAGGGGUUAGUUAUGUUAAAAAUGAAAGAAAGUUUGAUUAAACAAGGAAAAAAAUGCAGAAUUUUCAUAAGUAAGUAGGUAUGUGUCGUGGGGUUGAAAGGGGAUUUAGGGUUCUCACCUAAAUCCAUCAUCAACACAAGAAUUCUGCAUAAAUUGGGGUGAUUUGAGCUGGAAAUCGAGUGCAUGAGACAUCAUCUACACUUGUCUAAGUGUCCUUGAGGUAAGGAACGUGUCAAGGAGAGCUCAAGCAUAGGAGGAUAACGGGUCAAGAUAAGGCAAGGUGACAAAUACACUUAUUGGAGUGCUCAAGGUAAGUGAUUUCCAGAAUCACUUCUUAUCUUAUAAAUAAAGUUUUGAUAUGUUAAACGUAGGAAAUCAUGUGAGAAAUUAUGAGAAGGAGCAAGUACUAAGGUAUAUAUUAAUGAGGUAAGUCGUAAAAAGUUAUUUGUGCUUGGAAUUACAAGAUAGAAGGGAACGGGUCAAUAAUAAAGAAAGAAACAUGGCGUAAUGUGGUAAUUAGUUUGAUCAUGUGGUUAUACGUUAGAAAGAUUUAGGAGUUUGUAUAUGAUUAUUUUACAUAUUGGAAGCGUGAAAAACGGAGAAGAAAGAAGUUCGGGUGUCUAACGGUUGUAUACGAAUGUAAAAAUAGAGAAAAAAAAGGUUGGCUGAACUAGGCUCUACCGUAGCUUACGGUAGCCACCGUAAGCAACGGUAGGUACUGAUGGUCAUUUCUCCACCGUAAGGCAGUAUAAAGGCACCGUAGGCUUUUGUGUGCCACCGUAAGCUACGGUAGUCACCGUAGCUUACGUGGAGGUCAGGUUCAGAUGUAAAGUUUAUGUAUAUUCAUUUUCUUUGAAUUUGGACCCCAAGAACCCAUUUCAAGUCCCGUUAAACUUCUAUAAUGUACCUUAACCCUAUUAAAUGGCUUGGUGAGUUAAGGAUGAAUAUAUAACUCAUUUUAAGAUUUCCGCAAUGUACCCGAAAGUUAUUUAAAAAGCGUUUAUGAAGUGCGAGUAAUAAUGGAAUGCGUAAGCGAGUAUGUGGAGGAAUGAAUUAAGUAUGUGGGUAUAUAUGUAUAGGAUUAAUUUCAUACCAAUAGCCGGGACUUAUAAUAAUCAUGAAUAGAAGUGAGUAUGCACGUAGGUUUGUAUGUACGUGACCUAUUUAUAUGGAAGUUGUAAUUAGGAUACAUUAGCAAAUCAUUUGGAAUGAUGUAAGUGGAAUGUAAGAGCUUGUACGUUUGUAUGUGUGUUCGUAAUCAUGUGUGGAAGUAUGUGUCCAUGAAUAUCUGUAUGUAUGUACCUAUGCACGAAGUAGAAUUUAUUGUACACGAAUGAAUGGGACUUUUUUUAUAUGUUUACAUAGCUUCAAUACUUUUGAGUUUAAAGUUUCUAAACUGGUGUCUUGAGUAUGAAAUGAGAAUGCAGGUAUACUAUUAAUGUCCUUAUGAAGGUUUAAGGAAUUGGAAUGCAAGAUCGUACACUGAAUGAGGAUUUGAAAAGAUUAGCAUGAGAUGAAGGAAUACGGAGUGGUUAUUUAUUUACGUAUGUUUAGUUUAUGAACGACGUCACCAAAUUUUAACGAUGCGUGUGUAUGUGGUGAUUGCAGGUCGCACGGACUUAACAUCAUUAUGAAGUAAAUAAGGAUUGAAGAUCGAGUCAAAGAGCGAGGUUGGUACGGGAAGGGUAGUCACAUAACUGGUGAUUUUAUAUUACAUUUGAUGCGAUAAUUAAGAAUGAACGUUGUAAAUCUUUUGAAGAAAGUGUUUGUUAUUUUUAAACGAACCUUCAAGUAAGUCAUAUGAGUAAUUAUGAAAGAAAUUUUAAGUCUCUA